rnacentral:lncRNA from 1 species
CUGCAAUGGGCAUUGCUUAAACUGCGAAAAUUUCGUAAUGGGUUGGCUUAAUAGCACAGAUAAGGUAAUUAAACAUAACCACCAAAAGCUGAUAUUUACAUGAAUCUGUUGACUAGAGUCAACCCAUUCCAGUGUGCAGUACGUGGCAUCCUCCAUUGUGUGGGAACCACAAGGGGUCGUCUACCAAGAGAAGGAAACGACGGAGGGUCAAAAUUGGCUGCUGCGUUGCAGCAUGUAGGAAGGUCACGAAUGCC